AGGCUGCAGCUGCUGUGUGAGAAGGAAUCCAGUUACGCAAACCUCAACAGAAGCCAUGCCUUGUUGCUGGGGGAGAAUGCUCUUGGUCAUUCUUCAUCCCUUUUUCCUGUGGGAUACUUGAAAACACAGGGGUCAAACUGAACCAAGUGGAAAAGCCAGCAAUCUCUCCAUUUUAAGGAACAUACCCUACUUAAAAGCAUGUCUCUGGCUGGAGUGAAGAUGGACUGGAUGACUUUGGUGUGCUCGAGGGCAGGACUGCCACCCGGAGGGACUCAGUCAGAGAAGCUGUCCUGAAAGACGAGCAUGGAGGAGGCAGAGGACCUCCGCAGCCAGGAUGUGCUGCUGCGGUGUGCAAUUGCACAAACCAAGCUGUUGUGUAUUCAGAGUCGCAUCUGCCUGUCCAAAUGACCAAAAUGAAGUAUUUGCUGCUUUCUACUUUAUUUAAACCUGCGGGAGCCAGUAAUGCUCAUCCUCCUCAUGCACCAAGGUAUCCACAUGUGCCACUCGCCAACCUGGGACUUCUUCACCAAACAAUGUCUGAGCAAAUCUCCUAAAAACAGAGCAACUGCUCACAGAUUAUUGUGAUCAUAAUUUGGUUGACAUAGCCUUUAUUACUAAUGGUGAUGCUGGAGAUGGAAAACCCAUCUUGAUUCUCAGAUCCCUGCUGGAAAGUAAUAAAAUAAAGAGGAACAAAAUCCAUGAGUGUAUUUGCUACCAAACCUUUGAAAAACACAAGAAUGGAACCCUGCCAAUACUGUUGCUGGCAAUUUUUCAGACCAGUGCCUCUCUCUGAGAUAGCAUUAGAAUUGGAAGUGCAUUUUAUAUCUAUGACAUUAGUAUCACAUUGUGUACAAAUGGAGAGUUUACAAUUAUUUGACGUUUACUGGUUUGCAUGGUAAUUAUUGUGUGCUGCUCUUAUAUCUUCAGUUUAUUUUUAAGCACCUUCCAGUAACGUAAUAAUUAGAAAAUAACUUCAGUUAUUGUGAAAAAUGUGUUUAUUUUGCUAACUGAAAGAAUGGACAAAGGAAGUGCUUCAGUGGAAGUGCCCUUAUAAAAAUGGAAGGUAUUGCAGUUUUUCAGUGAGGUCUUUGUUGAGAACAUCGGGUAAGGGAGGUUGGCUUUUACAUAGCCUCCUUUGUCCAUCUUUGUGCAAUGGCAGAAUUUGCAGCUAAUUCUGAUGGCAGAAGCUUCUCCUGUGGUGGUAGCUGAGGAUGAUAUAAUGUCAUGUACAACCAUAGGAAAUUUCCCCAAGCCAUA